ensembl:snoRNA
GAGCACGUUCCCAAGGUCGGUGGCUUGUGUGGCCAUCUGAUCUCCAACUGCACGCAAGAACAUCGUGGAGAGACUGCCAGCUCAGGUCAGCAAAGGAUCUGCAGCUGUCACUCACCUUUCCUAUCAAA